rnacentral:lncRNA from 1 species
CUAUUAGAUUCCCAACCCCCUCCCGACUUUUGGAACACUUGCAGUUAUUUUUUUCUGGCACAAAAACAAUCAAAAAGGAAAAAAAUGUCAGGAUAUCUUCCAAAGAGAGACAUAAAGGUAUUUCUUCAUAACAACGCAAAUGAACUAAGACAACAAGUCUCUGUGUUCUCCUUCAUCUAUCAUACUACCCGAGGUUUGUUUACGUGGUAAAGACAAGGUUCGGAGAGAAAUGGUUGAAACCAGCAUAGCUUCUUGAGACACAAUGACACUUAUGCCACAUGCUAUUGGCCAGAGCAAGUCACAGAACAUCUGGAUUCAAGAGGAGGGAAAUGGAUUCCACACCUUGAUGGAGGAGAUGCAAAGUCAUAUCACUUGGGACAUGGAUACAGGGAGGGGUGCAAUUUGGGAUGUUUUUGCAAUUAACCUACCACAGGCUUAAGGAGGCUUUUAGGAUUUACCUUCUGCUCUAAUGAGUUUCAACCACCAUGGCUUAGAGAACAUUUCUUAAAACUCAGUCAUCUUUCAUGUAUCCAUUGUUCUCCAAAGGGACUAAGUUUUGUUCCAUGGUCAGUCUUUUCCAUGUGUUCUUGGACCUUAUACAAAACCCAAGCCUGGAAUUACAGCACCUGGAUUUAUUCAUCAAGCAUUCGCCAGUUCCUGGUUCUAUGCAUGUGUUCACAAAACUCAGAACAGGGCAUUCCUCUGAAUAGAGAAGAAAAAUAGAGUCAGUCAGAAAAGAAAUUUUUUGUCUAAGAAUACAAUCCACCGUACUACCACCAGACUUGGUUCCCUUUCAAUGUCGAGAGUAACACAUUCCUUUUAUGUGUUGCUUAAUUUGCUUGUUUUAAGCAGUUCCUUGUUUUUGGAGUGUCUUUUUUGAUAACAUUGAGAUACCACAUCCACUGAUCAUGUCUAAAAGCUGACAAUUUCUGAAGGAAAUAAACUGUUCAAAAUUAACUACUCUCUCACUAUAUAUAUAGCAUUGUAUUUUCAGUACACAUUUUUGGUACACAUAUUCGUGGUACAUAUUUUCCAGCUGGCUUGUGCUAAUGUACUAGUGAUUAGAACCAAGACUAAGAAAAAAGUGCAUUGCCAUUUUCAAUCAACGUGGGUAGAGCUGAAUGGUUGAUUCCAAAUCAAGUUA